UACGUAGGGGGCUAGCGUUGUCCGGAAUCAUUGGGCGUAAAGAGCGUGUAGGCGGCUUGGUAAGUCCGCUGUGAAAGUCCAGGGCUCAACCCUGGAAAGCCAGUGGAAACUGUCAAGCUAGAGUCCGGAAGAGGCGAGUGGAAUUCCUGGUGUAGCGGUGAAAUGCGCAGAUAUCAGGAGGAACACCAAUGGCGAAGGGCAGCUCGCU
rnacentral:rRNA from 1 species